CACUAUGAUGCGGUAAUUUGCGAUUGACACAGUCUCUGUGAGGCCCUCGCCGGGGCACUCGAUACAGAACUGGCGCAUGAUAUUCCUUUCUUACAUAUUCUGAUA
rnacentral:snoRNA from 1 species